GAUUCGUCACACUAUCAUUAACUGAAUCCAUAGGUUAAUGAGGCGAACCGGGGGAACUGAAACAUCUAAGUACCCCGAGGAAAAGAAAUCAACCGAGAUUCCCCCAGUAGCGGCGAGCGAACGGGGAGGAGCCCAGAGCCUGAAUCAGCAUGUGUGUUAGUGGAAGCGUCUGGAAAGGCGCGCGAUACAGGGUGACAGCCCCGUACACAAAAGCGCAUGUGCUGUGAGCUCGAUGAGUAGGGCGGGACACGUGGUAUCCUGUCUGAAUAUGGGGGGACCAUCCUCCAAGGCUAAAUACUCCUGACUGACCGAUAGUGAACCAGUACCGUGAGGGAAAGGCGAAAAGAACCCCGGCGAGGGGAGUGAAAAAGAACCUGAAACCGUGUACGUACAAGCAGUGGGAGCACCCUUCGGGGUGUGACUGCGUACCUUUUGUAUAAUGGGUCAGCGACUUAUAUUCUGUAGCAAGGUUAACCGUAUAGGGGAGCCGGAGGGAAACCGAGUCUUAAUUGGGCGUUAAGUUGCAGGGUAUAGACCCGAAACCCGGUGAUCUAGCCAUGGGCAGGUUGAAGGUUGGGUAACACUAACUGGAGGACCGAACCGACUAAUGUUGAAAAAUUAGCGGAUGACCUGUGGCUGGGGGUGAAAGGCCAAUCAAACCGGGAGAUAGCUGGUUCUCCCCGAAAGCUAUUUAGGUAGCGCCUCGUGAAUUCAUCUCCGGGGGUAGAGCACUGUUUCGGCUAGGGGGCCAUCCCGGCUUACCAACCCGAUGCAAACUGCGAAUACCGGAGAAUGUUAUCACGGGAGACACACGGCGGGUGCUAACGUCCGUCGUGAAGAGGGAAACAACCCAGACCGCCAGCUAAGGUCCCAAAGUCAUGGUUAAGUGGGAAACGAUGUGGGAAGGCCCAGACAGCCAGGAUGUUGGCUUAGAAGCAGCCAUCAUUUAAAGAAAGCGUAAUAGCUCACUGGUCGAGUCGGCCUGCGCGGAAGAUGUAACGGGGCUAAACCAU
rnacentral:rRNA from 4 species